rnacentral:lncRNA from 1 species
UUUUUUUUGGUUUUCUUUUCGAGACAGGGUUUCUCUGUAUAGCCAUGGCUGUCCUGGAACUCACUUUGUAGACCAGGCUGGCCUCAAACUCAGAAAUCCACCUGCCUCUUCCUCCCAAGUACUGGGAUUAAAGGCGUGUGCCACCACCGCCAGGCUCUAGUUAAAAAUGUCUAACAUGAUUGGGAAGAGGUAACUACUGAGCUUGUAAACUCUGAAGAAUCAUAGAGUGUAGCAAAUAGCCCACGUGAAAGGCCUCUAGUAGCUGUCAAUGCAGGUGCCCUUUUAUGUUGUACAGGUACAAAUUUGCAGAAUAGUACAUUUUAACUGAAGAAUAUAAAGAAGUAUGCUAUCCUCAGCUAAAGCAACACACUAUGAAUUCUUGUAUACUGUCCCAGAUGAGCCAUGUAUCUACCAGCCUGGACCACAACUGCUCUUGAUAGUGGGGAGGUUCUUCCACCUCUCACUUUUUCACCUCCUGCUAGUUGGGCCAGAAAUUGCAUUCAGUGCAAUGAUGACUGCAUUUGGUGGGUAUAAUUUUGGCGUAUAUCCCUUAGCCUAGUAACAGAAAACAGCUGAAAUUUAACUCAAAAAAGAAUAUAUAUAUAUAUAUACAUACACCAUGGGAGUGAAACCAAGGGUAUGAAAUUUCAGAUUCAAAGAAUCCCCUGAAACGAAGAAACUAUAAAGCAAGUAUAAUUUUUGGCUGUUUUCCUGCAGUUACUGGUAGGAACUUUUUGGCUCAGUGGUUGGGAGAUUAUCUCUGUCUUACUCCAUGUCUGUUCUCGACCCCCCAAAUGACCUGCUGGUGAUACUCUCCUGCAAAUGGAAUGCUCUUUCAAGGAGCCUCCUCCUCUGCUGGCUCACCAAGGACUUGGGUGUCUGUGUUCACAUUGCUUGCUCAUAUACAGUUGGCAGAAUUCAUGAUUGGCUGUUGCUUCUCGUGUUUAGUCCUAAAGACCAAAAAGUCGCUGGUUAAGUAUGGUCUAUAUCAAAUAUGGUCAAUGUUUCAGAGGCUAUAGAUGCUUGCCCAAUUUUAGAUACAGCAGAUGUUGCUAAUAACUGGGCUAUAGAUUGUGGAUUCUAUUAGAAAACAUUCAACACAGGACAAGUUAAUUACGGUGUUUUCACCAAGUUUCUUCACUGAAAAAUAGGGUGUAUAGAAUUUCAAAGAUUGCUUGAAAAAACUGAGGUAGUCUGUGUAGCACAUUGCCUAGCUCAGACAAAGAACUCAGUUAAAAAGAAAACAAAAAAACCAGCUCUCCAAUCAUUGUGGUUCUUUGUAUUCAUGGCAUCCUUGUGUAGGAUUGGACAGUCAAUCUUUUUCAAACUGGACCUUCCAGGGCAGUCUUAGCUUCAGUAUCAGUAGACAAUUUUGAGAGUAUAGAUUCAAUCUUUGGUAUUUCUAAGCCUGUGUUUCUGAGCUACCUGGCAUAGAGGGAAUGUGGAGGGACAAUGUGGUAUUGGAAUUGUGGGGAGUACAUAACACGCUGCAAAUUCUGUUAGCAGUACCCUCCAACCGAAAUGUCCCUCUGAUAUUUGCUGAGAGAUUCAUAUCGUAUCAUAUUGUACCGCAUCAUGGCGUAUCAUAUCAUCUAGCUCAAGCAUGUUUAGAUCAAGAAGGAAGCUGAUGACCAUAUUUAUGGACCACUUAUCUUUUCUUAUCUGUAGCUAGUCUAUUGGUAUAUUUGGAGUCCUCUUCAAGGAUUGAUCUAUGGGUACACUAAAACAGUGUCUUUCAUGGGAUAUGCUGGCUUUCCUUGAGGCAUGUUAGUGCAAGCCUUUAAUCUUACUGUAGAUAGAUAGAGGCAGCUGGAUCACUGUGAGAUUUGAAUAUUGAGUUCCAGGCCAUCCAGGACUACAAAGUGAGACUGUCUAAAACAUAAUAUGAUAUGAUAUGAUAUGAUAUAAUAUAAUAUACUCUCAGUUGGUUAUCUUGGUUUUAUAUAGCAGCCGUAACCAAUGUAUACAACUUUCGUAGUUAAAGGCAACACGACUUCCCCUGCAAUUUAUAAAGGCAAAUGCUCUGGGAUUAGCCGUGAUUCUGGAAUGAUUGUGAUUCUUUGCAAUGAUUCUGAAAAGCCUUUCCGGAAUGAAGGUGUGUUCACGCUGCUCUGUGCUAAGCUGACUAAGUUGUUGGUAGAUGGUUGCAGUUGAAGAAAUUUGGUCUUUCUCUCAAAGAUUAGUUAUCUUGCCUAGCUUCCUUUAUUCCCUGCCUCGUUUUCCAGGUGGCCACAUCCAGCAAAGAUAGGUAGAGUCUUUUCCUGUAUCUCUUUGAUGCCAGAGGAAGUUCUCAGAUUUGGGGCUCCUGAAAAGUAACAGGGUCUACCUGGAUAAACUGGUGUUUUUUUCCUUUGUGUUUAUUUUGGCAAUGUUUCUAGGUUUUGUUUGUUCUAUUCUAUAGGCUCUGGAAAGUAGAGGUGGAUAUAGCUGAGGGGUAGUCUACCUUCUAUACUUGAUGAAGUCUAAAUAGUCUAAGUAUAACCUAUGUAUGUCUUUCUCCACAAUACAGGGGGCCUUUCUAUGAUCAUCUUUCAUUUGAUUAAAUAUUUUGUACCAUUCCUUAUGAUGUCUAUGAAAUUUGGUGUACUUGAGAAACACAUCUAUGUCUUUACUCAGUAUAAUGGGUUACCAUACAAGAUGUUAGGGGAACAAAAGAAAAUAGAGAUGUUUCUAAUGGGAAAUUU